GGGGGCGCUGUUCUCGCUGUCCCCGCGGCCCGAGUUGGGGCUGGAGGCCUGACACCCACUCCUGCGCCGCCGCUUCCGCCUGCCUUAGACCGCUCACCCCUUUUUGCAGAUGGAAGAAACGGCCUUGCUUGUUCAGGAUGGAUGCAGGAUACAGGGGCGGGGGAGCUGGAGGAGUGUGUCCCGGGACCGCCGAUAAACCCCUCAGAAUCCAGCCUUUCCAAAUGGGCCAGGCCCCCCAAACCAGACGUUCCCGGAACAGCAACCAGCAGAGGCAGUGGGCAUAAUGGAGAGGUGGGCUUAGCGAGAGGAAUCCCGGGUUCUGACCCUCCUCCGGAAAUGCCAUGAAACCAUUGUUGUUUCCGGUUAUCGAAGGAGCUCCAUCUGUAGCUACAGAAGUUAAUUUUGAGAGAGGUAGAUUGUAUUUUUGCAGAAGUUUAAAAACACAAUUAAAUAGAUCUUGUCCUGU